UCGCGAUAGUAAUUCAACCUAG
rnacentral:siRNA from 1 species